UUUUUAAUUGUCGGGUUCAAACGUCAUUUCGGGGACUUUCCAAGAGUGAGGGAGCCGAGGGGAGGGAGCCAGCCUCCUUAACCCUUCGCUGACCCGGCGUCCACGCCGCGACGGGCGGGGGCAGCGUCCAGCAGGGCCGGGGAGGGGGGCGGGGGCCGGGGGUGUCCCGGCCUGAGCCAGCGGGUCCCGCUGAGCCGUGCUCCGCAGGUGCCCGACGGUGGCGGGAACCGCAUAACAAACCGCGACCGGGGCAGGAAGCCCGACGGGAGGCCUGCGUGGCCCUCCCCGCCCCCGGCGCUGGGCAGCCCGCCCUCCGGGUCCUUCCCCGCGCCGCGCGCACUCGGGCCGCCCCUUCACCUGCAGCGCCGCUUCCGACUGCGGAGGGGGCGGCGGGCCCGGUCCUCCCGCCGCGGCGCGGCUUCCGGGCCCUCGCCGCUCGCCCGGAGCGGGUCUGCGCGCGGAGGGGGGCCCGGCCCGGUACUUUUGGCUUCAGGGUAUUAGGUUUUGUGAAAGGGGGAAAGUGAAAGCCCUCGGAGUUAGGGAAACGCGACGGAUAUAUUCACUGACCAGUCUGGACCCGGGCGCACCUCGAGGCAGAAGGCGUCUGAGCAUGAAGAGAGAGAGAGAAAUUGAGGUUGAGAUCGAAUCUGUUUGCUUUCUGGCACAAGCGUGGACUAGGGAGACUGGAGCCUUUGUCCCCGGCCCCCAGCAGAACCCCCUCCCCAGUCCCACACCUCCACCCGCAGCAGCUCCAUGACUUGAAUCUCGGAGUUGCUGGAUAUGAAACCCAGGCCUUUUCGUCCCUGUGUUCCUUCUCCUCGGCCUCCCCAAAGCACUGAACGCACCUUCUCCGUGCCUGAUACCUCAACAGUUUCUUCUGUGUCACCUGCCCCAGCCCCCUAGGUAGCAAAAGGAGUUCAAUGAAACCACUGUGUUGUUUUUUAGAAACCUGCUCUUGUGCUGAGUUUGGCAUGCUUUGUGGAGCGCAGGUCAAUUACUUCCCAUGGAUGGGGGAAACUGAGGCACAGGAGGGGAGGUGGCAGCAGGCGACCUGUGCCCAGGGCUGGGAGGUGAGGUCGGCGUGCAUGGGCUGGCUCUAGGAGGUGCUGGGCCUGAAGGAAGGCGGGACUCCCUGGGUGGGAUCUGGCUGCUCCGUGCACACCCUGUGAAGUGCCCACGAGGAAGAGGGGACGCACAAGGGAGCUCGAAAACCUGUGCGCUUGAGACCCGAGGGAUUCCAUGAGAACUCGGGGAAGGGCCUCACACGGUGCCCAGCGCAUGGGAACCUAACAAAUGCUGGUUUGGCUUCUUGGCAAGCUCCUGCUUCCUGGGUCACCAAGAAAGAAGGGGGAGCAGCAUCUGUCCUCUCCACUCCCCCGGCCCCCAGGAACGCUGCGCAGGGACUGCUGGGCGGGGGAGGGCCUGCUGCAGGAGCUGGGGAGAGGCCCCGGAUGAAGCCUCUCUGGGGGGUUCUCGCUCCAAACUAGGGGGUCUGCUCCAGCGUCAUCAGUGGUAUAGCACAUACUUGUAAAGUGCUCACAAGUAAACCAAAUUCCUGUUUGCCCCAACUCCGGCCAGUUUGCUUUGGAGUGAUCCCCUAGUCCAGACUGGAGCAGACCCCACCCUGGGGAGCCGUUCCUUUGAGGAGCAGGACCCACCUCCCCAGCCAGAACAGGGAUCAGACAGCUCUUGGAGGGUCGCCAUGUGGGCAGCCGGCAGAGGAGAGAGGAUGGACAUUUGCCACAGCCCUAUGACUUCUUUAGAUCUGAGUUUCUCCCGCCAACUGCACCCUCCACCCCAGGGCGGGGGUGGGGGGAGGGGAGAGGGACUGCAGGCCCCCAAACCAGGGCCUGCCCUUGUCUGACCA